rnacentral:rRNA from 1 species
GAUAUUUGAAGGGGGCUGCUCCUAGUACGAGAGGACCGGAGUGGACGAACCUCUGGUGUACCGGUUGUGACGCCAGUCGCAUCGCCGGGUAGCUAUGUUCGGAAGAGAUAACCGCUGAAAGCAUCUAAGCGGGAAACUCGCCUUAAGAUGAGAUAUCCCUGGAGGCUUGACCUCCUUGAAGGGUCGUUCGAGACCAGGACGUUGAUAGGUCGGGUGUGUAAGCGCAGUAAUGCGUUCAGCUAACCGAUACUAAUUGCCCGUAAGGCUUGAUCCUAUAACA